rnacentral:lncRNA from 1 species
AAAUUCUGUCGGACGCUCGUGAGGAAGCAUCGGACGUCCGGAUGGAUCGGACGCACUCCUCGGACGCACAUCGAUCGUGUCGGACGUCCUAAAAAUUCCACGAAGAUUUGAUAACUCUCUGGACGACGUUCGGACACAGAAGCUCGGACGAUAAAAUCCCAUCGGACGUCCGAACAACAACUUGACUGAUUUUCGGACGAUGGGAUCGGACGAUGACUAAGCUGUCGGACGUCCGACAGGCCAACGGCUAGUUUCGACAGCAUUUAAUAUUUGACCGUUGGAGAGCCUUUUGGAGCCAUUUCUCACCUUCUAUAAAUACCCCAAAACACAAGAAGACAAGAGACUUUUGCCAACACUAAAUACAAGCUUACAAGUGAGAUUUUUG